AGCCAUAGCUCAGUGGCAGAGCCUCUGUUUUGCAUGCAGAAGAUCCCAGGUUCAUCUGCAGGUAGGGCUG